rnacentral:rRNA from 1 species
AUGGAUCUAGUGGCCAGCGUGACGGGGGUUGUCAACAUCGCGCUCCAGAUACAGGAGCUGGUCGAGACGGUUCACCAGAAUAAGGACGACUGCAAGAAGAUCGCAACGCGUGUGGAAAGGCUCCGUGCUAUCGUCCAGUGUCUUCACGAUACGGAUGUCUCCAGCACGAAACCCAUGAUCGACGCACUCAACGAGCUCGAAGAGACCUUCCGUCGUGCCCUCAAGCUCGUCAAGGCCUGCCAGGCCAAGAACAUCGUUUGCCUUUUCCUCAGGGCCGGGAACGUAUCCAAACAGCUGCGUGAGGUCAAGGACGAGAUCAUGGAGCAUAUGCAUAUUGCAAACUUCAGCAACGGCGUCCAGCAAACCGUCAUGUACACCAGAGCAUAUAUUACAAAUCCGGCAGCGAUGCCAAAGAAACUUUUGAAAGUGCAGUCGAUGAAAGGGGAGCAAGAAAUCAGUGUGGUUGGCAGCCAUUUGGUGCGGCAGGACACAGAAAUUUGGGUUGAUGAGGAUGCUACUGGAGUGGAGGACGCGCAUGCCAGUUACUCAACCAAUGAUACUAGAUCUGAAGUUCGUGAUGAGCAAGAAGGUUUACCAGCAGGAAGCUUAGAGUAUAACAUAUCACGCUUCAAGAAUUUCAGUUUAUCUGAACUGAAGGCGUCUACAAAAGACUUGUCAAAUGACCAUGUGAUUGGAAGAGGUGGUUUUGUUACUGUUUACAAGGGUGUAUUAACCAAUGGAGCAGAGGUUGCCAUCAAGAUGUUCAUUGCAGGUCGUGGCCAAGAUGAUGGCUUAGCGCGUUAUGCUGAAGUUUUCUCGGUGAUCGGUGAGCAUGAGAAUGUAGUUAGGUUUCUGGGGUAUUGCCAUGAAAUGAAGAUUGAGUUCAUGCGAUGGGAAGACAAAUGUGUGCCUGCUGAAACACAUCAUAUGUUCGUGGUGGAGGAGUACAUGGCCAACGGAAGCUUGUCCAACAUUAUCCAUGGGUCCUCAUGGCAGCUGGAUUGGACCUCCACAUUUCGAAUCAUUCGAGGGAUUGCACAGGGCGUAGCUCACAUCCACACCAAAGGCACUGUCCAUUUGGAUCUGAAGCCAGACAAUAUCCUCUUGGAUUCCAACAUGAACCCUAAGAUCUGUGACUUUGGGCUGUCUAAGAUACUGAAUCAAGAUGACGAAUUAGGUGGUGAGGGAGUGACACGAGAGUUGGUGGGAACAAUGGGCUAUUUUCCUCCGGAAUAUAUUGCAGAUGGUAUUUUUUCAUUUAAAUAUGAUGUGUACAGCUUUGGCAUUAUCCUCGUCAAGACCAUUAGCAUGUCGGGACUUCUACAAGAUUCAACUGAUUGGGUUCAGUAUGCACAGGAAGGACUAGAUGAUGUGGAGGACUUGUUAGCUCCUUCAUUGCAUGACGAGCCCGAGCUAAAAGAAAUAAAAAGAUGCAUGAAGAUCGGAGUGCAGUGCGCAGCAAAGGAGCGGAUAGACAGGCCCACCAUGGGGGAUGUUGUUGACAUGCUAGACGGCAAUAAACAGCUCCAGAGGACCCCAAUGCGAAAUAAGGCUUCUUCGUUUAAGAAGAAAGGCAAGGCAUGA